rnacentral:tRNA from 1 species
GCCCCGGUAGCUCAGCUCGGUCGGAGCGCCCGGGUGGACGUCGCGCCAUCGCCGCUCGUAAGCGGGAGGUCCCGGGUUCGAAUCCCGGCCGGGGCU